ensembl:snRNA U6 U6 spliceosomal RNA
GUGCUUGCCUCAGCAGUGCAUAUACUACAGUCGAAAUGAUAUAGAGAUUAGCAUGGCCUCUGUGGGAGGAUGACACGCCAAUACAUGAAGCAUUCCAUGUCUUU